GGGCUAUAGCUCAGCUGGGAGAGCACCUCCCUUACAAGGAGGAGGUCAGCGGUUCGAUCCCGUCAUCACCCACCA
rnacentral:tRNA from 1 species